CUCUUCACUUAUAUCGGGUUAUGCGCGUGGACACGUAGGGUUUUUGAGAACCGUGCAGACUGCACUCGUCUUUUUGUCGGAGUUACCAGAUCUUGGACUCUCACUCGGGCGGAUAGAGAGACGGAUCUCCACCGGGAUCUCCUCGCACCGCGACUGUACCUGGAGAAUCCGACUGACUCAAAUAGAACAGAGGAGAGUCCUGUGGAGUCUGUCCUUCUUUCACCCAGUGAGAGACUGCUGAGUUUAGGCUCAGUUUAAACUCAUAUUAGCGCAUCUUCUGUAACUCUGACCAGCAGCAUGUGGGACAUCAAAAGGUUAUGAGUGAACUUACAGCUUGGUGAUCCACAUAGACAAGC